UACGGGGGGGGCAAGCGUUGUUCGGAAUUACUGGGCGUAAAGGGCUCGUAGGCGGCCAACUAAGUCAGACGUGAAAUCCCUCGGCUUAACCGGGGAACUGCGUCUGAUACUGGAUGGCUUGAGUUUGGGAGAGGGAUGCGGAAUUCCAGGUGUAGCGGUGAAAUGCGUAGAUAUCUAGAGGAACACCGGUGGCGAAGGCGGCAUCCUGGACCAACACUGACGCUGAGGAGCGAAAGCCAGGGGAGCAAACGGG
rnacentral:rRNA from 1 species